CUAUUAUACUUAAUUAAAGGCACAGAACAAGCUGAACAAACACACAAACAAAUAAUUUAACCAGACAUUUCAUAAACAUUGAAAAUGUCAAACAGUGAUUUCAACAGUGAUUGAAUAAAAAUAAAAUUAAUAGAAAAAUAUUAAAAUGAUCCAUUAAUUUAGGAGAAGCAUCGGUGGAGAUUUCUACACAUCUGUCAUCCGUGCCUUUUUCUUGAGAACACAAAAUUCCAUGUUGUGUAAACACAUCAGAGGUUGUUGCGUAUGACAAAGCGAAGACACAAUGUAAGCCAUGGAUUGCCCCAGUGUAUGUUAGCAUCCAGUUUGCAGUCCAAGACAUUCUGCAGUCACAGCUCCAAGGAUUAGAAGAAAGGAAAACGUGUUUCAGUUUGGGCAUGUUUGAAAACAAAUAGCUGGGAAUGAAGGUUAAGUUAUUUUUGCUCAGGUGAAGCAUUUGAAGUUGAUUUAAAGAAGAAAAUGCAUUUUGUGUGAUGCUCGUUAUGCGGUUGUUAUUCAAAUGUAAUUUUUUCAAGUUAACAAGACUGUUAAACGAGCAGUUGAUUGUAGUGAUCUUGUUAGCUUCUAGAUACAUAAUCCUGAGCUGGCGUAAGCUUCUAAAAAUCUGAUUAGGCAAAUAAGAU